GGCUUGUUGGUGUAAUGGUAAUGCGCUCUGUGGCGAUCUAAUGCAUUUGUAUAUCGUUUGACGGAAAGUCCAGAGUUUGAUUCUCCGUCAAGCCA